rnacentral:pre_miRNA from 1 species
AACUUGGGACCGCCGGUCUACCCAGCAAUAGCACCCGCUCGGUGGAAGAUCUUCCCUCUAACGU